rnacentral:rRNA from 1 species
AUUGAACGCUGGCGGCAGGCCUAACACAUGCAAGUCGAACGGAGUGGCGGACGGGUGAGUAAUGUCUGGGAAACUGCCCGAUGGAGGGGGAUAACUACUGGAAACGGUAGCUAAUACCGCAUACUAUCAGAUGAGCCUAGGUCGGAUUAGCUAGUUGGUGGGGUAAAGGCCUACCAAGGCGACGAUCCGUACCUGGUCUGAGAGGAUGAUCAGCCACACGGGAACUGAGACACGGUCCAGACUCCUACGGGAGGCAGCAGUGGGGAAUAUUGGACAAUGGGCGAAAGCCUGAUCCAGCCAUGCCGCGUGUGGGAAGAAGGUCUUCGGAUUGUAAAGCACUUUAAGUGGGGAGGCGUUACCCACAGAAUAAGCACCGGCUAACUUCGUGCCAGCAGCCGCGGUAAUAC